rnacentral:tRNA from 1 species
GGGGAUGUAGCUCAAUUGGUUAGAGCACCGGCCUGUCACGCCGGAGGUUACGGGUUCGAGCCCCGCCAUCCUCG